UAGGGAAUCUUCGGCAAUGGGGGGAACCCUGACCGAGCAACGCCGCGUGAGUGAAGAAGGUUUUCGGAUCGUAAAGCUCUGUUGUUAAGGAAGAACGAGUGUGAGAAUGGAAAGUUCAUACUGUGACGGUACUUAACCAGAAAGGGACGGCUAACUACGUGCCAGCAGCCGCGGUAAUACGUAGGUCCCGAGCGUUGUCCGGAUUUAUUGGGCGUAAAGCGAGCGCAGGCGGUUAGAUAAGUCUGAAGUUAAAGGCAGUGGCUCAACCAUUGUAGGCUUUGGAAACUGUUUAACUUGAGUGCGGAGGGGGAGAGUGGAAUUCCAUGUGUAGCGGUGAAAUGCGUAGAUAUAUGGGGGAACACCGGUGGCGAAAGCGGCUCUCUGGUCUGUAACUGACGCUGAGGCUCGAAAGCGUGGGGAGCGAACAGG
rnacentral:rRNA from 1 species